rnacentral:lncRNA from 1 species
CAGAGCAGAAGGUUCCCAACAGGCUGCGCCUGCGCUGGAGCACCCUCUUUCCUCCUUCCUUCAGCUGCCCCUCUUUCUGGAUGGGUAAAAGCACUUCCAUGUUUUCAGAGGCGUGGAGGGAGCCCGAGAAGAGCAGAUGUUGACACCACCAUCACUGCCUGCAGCAGUGAGACCAGGGGCACAGUUUUUGUUGAAAGGGUCGACCAGGAAGCACUUCCUUGACUCUGUCCUAAAGCCUCUGGAGAGCCCUUACAUUUGUGGUCCUUGAAGAUAUUGUAAAGGUAUUAUUCAGGAACAAGAUGGGCAAAACAUGAAUAGGACAAGCUUUCUGCUCUCCAGGGACUCCCUUGAAGAUGUGUCACAACCCCAAGCCAGUAUGGUGAGGACACA